GUUUCUAUGGACUCAGCCAUGUUUUCUGUGCUGUUGGGGGUCAUCAUUAAUGCAGGAUGUUGCACAGCCAGCAGAACUUCCGAAGAUGAGUGGCAAUGCAGCUGGAGGACAGUUCUGUACUCUGCUUCACAGACUGCAAGUGACAAGCCCUGCUCGGAGCCUUUGCUGCUACGGUCAUGGUUUCCGUCAGUCCUCAUCUGUGGAAGCCCUUCAAAGACCAGGAGGGCAGGCUACUUAACGCAGAGGAAAUAUGGAACCCUCGUCAUUCCUGGAAAGUGAGAGAAGAAUGUCCCAGUGGCCAACUUUGGAUGUGAUUCCAUGCCGUUCUGAGAAAUUUUGUGCCGCCUUUGAAUUCCCACCCAAACUUAUGCAGUAGAAUCACACCCAGAAAGCUCCCCAAGCUGUCCUUCCCACAAAACAGCCCAGCACCGUGUUUUGUUGUCCCAACAAUUUGUUUGUUUUCCCUCAUCCUACAUGGUUUUCCUUGGGAAGAGCUGGACCCCUCAUUCCAACUCAGUGUAUCCCAACCUGGUUUAGCACCACUAUAGUUUAAGACCUGCUGCUCACUGUUUGGUCGGUUCCUAGUUCAGCUCUGGAACACACACACACACACACACACACACACACACACACACACACACACACACUGCAAAUAAAAUCACUUUUCCGUUGGUAGCACAGACACUACAGGAUUUUGUUCCUACUCCUUCUCCUUCUCAUGAUGAAAUGACCCAUCUAUCUAAUUCUCCUGACUUUUUCACCUGCUCAGAAGUGACAAAGUGUUCUGCUCUGCU